rnacentral:rRNA from 1 species
GAUGAACGCUAGCUACAGGCUUAACACACGCAAGUCGAGGGGAAACGACAUCGAAAGUUUGCUUUUGAUGGGCGUCGACCGGCGCACGGGUGAGUAACGCGUAUCCAACCUGCCCACCACUUGGGGAUAACCUUGCGUAAGUAAGACUAAUACCCAAUGACGUCUCUAGAAGACAUCUGAAGGAGAUUAAAGAUUUAUCGGUGAUGGAUGGGGAUGCGUCUGAUUAGCUUGUUGGCGGGGUAACGGCCCACCAAGGCAACGAUCAGUAGGGGUUCUGAGAGGAAGGUCCCCCACAUUGGAACUGAGACACGGUCCAAACUCCUACGGGAGGCAGCAGUGAGGAAUAUUGGUCAAUGGACGAGAGUCUGAACCAGCCAAGUAGCGUGCAGGAUGACGGCCCUAUGGGUUGUAAACUGCUUUUAUAAGGGAAUAAAGUGAGUCUCGUGAGACUUUUUGCAUGUACCUUAUGAAUAAGGACCGGCUAAUUCCGUGCCAGCCGCCGCCGUAA